GGUUGUCAUCCCUGAAGGAAUGCCGGCAAUCGAAAAUUAUGGCAUGGCCUGGUCGCAAAUCAAUCAACCAUUUUUCGAGUAUGGGUUGGAAGAACCGGUAAGUUGUAACUAUUGCUUAUAAUAAACCAACCAUGCACAUCAUCCAUGAGAUCAAUUGACAGAGCUAUGUGAUAGAAAAAACUUUUUAACGAACUCCAACAUGGAGUAAAUAAUGAACUUUUAUCGCUGUCGGCAAGGUAAAAACAAAUUGUUCAUCUCUUUAUGUUAAAAAAGACUAACUUUGUUUAAAAAAAGUUGUUCUCGUCAAAAAAUUCAGUUUUCUCUGUCUUUUGUUAGCUCAAAUACACCUGAAUUAAUGUGCUUUUGGUACCUUACUAUUACACUCGCUACUAUCAUGAAGAAAUUUCCGAUAGAGCAUGUUGUGCAAGUCCUUUAGACGUUGAUG